UUAUUAUUUUUAAUAAAAAUAUGACGGAAUAUACAUUGCAUUACUUAACCCAAUAAUCAUACACAAGAUCCCUCUGAAAUCAGAUUUAAAGUGCAAAAAAAAAAAGAAAAGUUUCUUUUGAUUCACCCGCUGUACCUCCUACAGCAAGACCAUCUCUUCUGCCCGGAUCGGAUCGUGGAUUUUGGUAAUAGAGGGAACAAUGUAAACAUGUCUGACUGUCCUUAAAGAAAUGCAAAAACUCUAGAUUCAUAAAUCAUGCUGCCUUGGGGGCUGGGGGCCAUCCUGGAAUGUUCUAUUGUUGUCCUAGGUUUUCAUAUCCUCAGUAGUGCAAGUAAGGGCUCGCACACACAACUGAAAGGCCGGGAACCACAAUCCAUGUAUCGGCUGCAUCUGCUGGGCCAAUUACAGCUCCCCUGAACCAAACUGACUGUAUUAUAGUGAUAUGAUAGUCACUUUGUAUCUGAUCAUGGGGCUAUUGCAGUAUAGUCACAUGAUGACAUGAGUACACUGCAGUAGUCCAGCAAUCAGAUAGACUGGCUGCAUCAAAUUACUAUGAAACAGCCAGUUUGGGUCAGGGGGGCUGCAGUCAGACCCAGACACACGGAGAGUGUUUCCCAGGCCAAUCACAGUCAUGUGCAUGAGCCCUUAUGGAUGUCAGUGCACUGUGGUAAUGUCCUCUUAGAGUGCCCACACACGAGAUGAAUGUCAAGGAAUGGAUAAACAUGUCUGAUUUUUUGUUUGCAGGGGAUAAGCAGCUGUCAGACCCCUGGCAGCAGUUUAUGUCCCCUCUUUUGAACAAAGGACUAAUAGCGGUCAGCUGAACAAGCAUUUGGCUGAAAGCUGUCUAAGGCCCCAUUCACACGACCGUAUUUUUGGUCUGUGUCUGAUCCGAAAAAAAUGAUCCAUUCAUUUAAAUUGGGCGGCAAAAAAAUGCAAACAGCACCCUGUGUGCAUCCACAUGUCCAUUCUGCGGACCUGCAAAAAAGAAAAAAAUAGAACCUGUCCUAGUCUUGUGUUUUGCAGACAAGAAAAGGCAUUGUUACAAUGGAGCCCACAAAAAGUGCAGGAUGCAAAUGGACCACAUCCGUAUUUUCCAGACCGCAAAACGAAUACAGUCGUGUGAUUGCCCCCUAAAAUGUAUGGCCAUCUUGGAGGUGAUUUUCCCACACAGCAGCCAGAUAUUAAGUGCUGGCCAAUAAAGUGUCUGCGACUAGGUUGUGUCUAGUGUUGCACAUUGGUGCAAUUUUUGCCAAACUAGGAACUUCACUCUUUAGCCCAAACUUGCUAAAAAAAAAAAAAAAAAAAA